UCGUGCUAGAGGGGGAGCUAGCGGUGCCCUGUAACCUGCAAUCCGCUACAGCAGGCUUGAAUUCCUUGUUUAGGCAUUAAGCUGUCAGGUCAGUAUAGCUAAAAAGGUUAUGAGAGCUGGGUCCCAUGCAUCAGAAAAUCAUAAAACCCGUCAGGUUCGGAAGAAAGCAGCGGUAAGUGAAUAUUUCUGAGUGCCGUGGAUCAAUCUGGCUUGAGCCAAUUUAACUACAAACGCUGGUAGCUUAAUUGACAACACAAGGGCACGA
rnacentral:SRP_RNA from 1 species